AAACUCCACACAUAUAUAGAAGCCCUGGCUUCUGGAAUUGUCAUGAAUCCUUUUGUUUUUAACAUCCUCAUCAGCUCAGGAAACCUGUGCUCUUCUUUACUUCUCCUCCACAGUUCUGGAAAACACUGAAGCCUCCAGGAUGUCCUGCUUUUGGACGUAUUUGAGUCUCAUCGCUGUCCUGCAACACAGCGUCUCAGCGGAUCAAGAUCUCCCGUGUAUCACAGAACUUUGAUCCAGUUUGCCUGAACCGAGACGUCUUAUGGGCUCCCUCGUCAGCCUCCACAGAGGAGAGUGCUGCUCAUCUAUGUUUUGGAUACCUGUCCCAGUUAAACUAACGCGGCUUAUCUUCCCAGAGCCACCACUCUACGUCAUCGCCCCCAGAAUGCAUUGCGCAGCAGUGGAACUGAACUGCAACAAAACUGUGAAAGUCCAGGCCGGAGGAACAGCAACGCUUAACUGCUCGAUACAUUGGAAUGAGGAUAUAAACACCAGCAAAAAUCUAACAUCUAUCACCUGGACAAACUGCGGAAAAAGUGAAUUAUGUCACAGCAACAUGAAGAGAUACGUUUUUGAGUCAGAUAAUCAGACUUACGUGUCACUGACCAUCUCAAACGUCUAUGAAGCUGAAAAUGUCAACGUUGAUAUUGUGGCAGAAAGUGGCAUGGAUGAUAAAUGCAUCAGCGUGGUGGUGGUCAACGGUACAGAUCCAGCUACAUCUUCUUCGUAUGAGAACCAUGACAACCCAAAGGACGAUACGGUUGUGAUAGCCAGCACGCUUUCCGUUUUGGGUGCCGUCCUUGUUGGGGUCAUUUUGUUUGUCCUUUACAAAGUUAAGACAAGAAACAACCAUCGCAGACUAGAACAAAAGGAACCUCAACCCCUUGUCUGACUGAUAUUGUGUAAUGUCUCAGGUAUCCCUCAGUAUAAGACCAUCAGGCAAGGGACAUAGCGAGGAACAGCAGCAAAAUGAAAAAGACCCUACAAACAUAAAAUCACUAAAUGAAUCAAUGACUUAAAAUCCUCUGGCCCUUAGCAGGCCUUGAACUUAGAAAACCCUCAGGCAAACAACGACGCAUGACAUAUCGGUGUCAUCAUUUAUUGGACAAAAACUGAAGUGUGAGAAGUUCGGUACCCCCUCACUGUCUCCAUGGAAACCAGGAGGAUAAGUAGCAGCUAGGUUUUGGUUACUGGCCUGGAGCAUCCAGGUGUCUGUUAACAGACUACCAAAGAGGGAAGACAUCAGCAGUAAUCUUAGAGAGACAAUUAUUUCUGUAUGUCCAUACUAAUACUAGUAUUAUGUAUGUUAGCGAUUUCCAACGACACGCCAUUCAUUUUUCUACACUAAGAAAGAUGAUUCCUAAUUGGAAACCUUCAAGGCAGUUGCCAGUUUUCUCAGGGGUCCCCUUGUCCCAGCAAAUUCAUCUAAAAUGUACAGAAAAAAAAGAUCUAAGCACUACACCCGAGAGUCUGCAGGUCUGAUUUGGCAUGUUAAAUGUUAACGUUCAUGAUUACACAUGGAUGUUUUGAAUAAAGCCUUGUGUCUAAAAGUACAACAUGACAGAACCGCUUCGGUUUGCAGAGAUGCAGCUGAGCAAAUCAAAGGAUCUGUACAGCAGUGAGAUCAAAGUGGAGGUGUGAGUUUGGUGAAAACCAACGGGUUCAUAAGCACAAAUACCUCGUAACAACCAUCAACCGUGGUGGUGAUGUGGGCUUGCUGUGUUACAGAUUUAUUCUAGAGUCCAUCAGUCUGACAACUAAAGUCUGGCUGAACUUUGAUCAUGCAGCAAAGCAAUGUUCCUAAACACAUGACCAAAUCUACGAAAGAGCAGUUAAAAUGAAAUAUUUUUAAGCUGUUUCUACUGGGGGUUGUUUUACAAGCAGUUGGGUGGUGGGAAGUUUGAACAUUUUUGCUCAGUACAUGGGGUGCUUUGUCAAGUGUUGUUAUUCCGCUGUACUAAUACAACAACUUGUAAAGGCUGAAAUUGUAACUUGUUCUUAAAAUGUUAUAGCAAAUAUUUCCAAGUUCACCUUCAUAGUAGUUUAAAGUGAAAGCAGCUUAAAAGUGUACAUGUGUAUUUUAUUGUUUGUUGAGCUCAAAGGGAAGGACAGGAACCUCAUUCGAGGCCUGUAUGUUUUCAGUUUAACUGUUUAGUGUGGGACGUGGUAACGUGUGUUGCGCUGCAGUUGGUCUCGGUUAAAGGGCUGUGCCCCCUGGGUGUGAGCUGGCGUUUUUAAUUUAAUCAAACAUGUUUAAUUUAUGUCAGGAGCAGUCUGUUUGUCCUUAUUGUGUACAAGGAACAACUAAAAGAUGUGCAAGAGGUUGGAAAUGUGGGUUGCAUUGUUAAUCUGUUUCCAAAGUGUUCUGAAAGCAUAAAAGUGAAUUGUGUACAGUAUUUAAAAACCCUGACUCAUGUCCUGGAUAUUCUGACUGUAUAUAUAUUAUGGUGCAUGCCAAUUCAUCCUUUUUACAAGAAACUGUGAUUGAGUGGUGGAACAUGUUUUCAAAUAAAAUCUGUCAAAAACAAGUGCUUUUGCAUCUUUGAUGUUAUACACCACAGCAUAAACACUCCCACACAGCUGAUUUAGUGUCAACAGCAGCCAGUACAGUCACAUUUCCUCUUUACAUCGCACUUGAAGCAUCCGUGAGACGGUUCCCCUGUUAGUCUGUCUGCAUCUGGAGCAUCUGCUGCAUCUGCAGCCGCCUGUCUGCAGCCCUGCGUGCAGGAUGAAAGGCCGCUGCUGGAGCUUCGUGUUGGGAUUUCUCUGCAUGCCCGCUGAGGUGAUACUCAGCGCCUGGACAGUGUCACAAGACCCCGCAAUUACUUCUGACGUGAGAAUCAACUCAUCUCUUGAAAUUAAAUGCUCCUCAUCCAAAUCAGACGUGGUGGGGUUAUAUCUGCGUAGGCUUUUCCAGGACAAGGACAUUAUGUUCCUGUCCUUGGAAAAUGAAAGGGUCGACAACGUCAUCAUAACUCCGGAUUUUAAGGGGAGGAUAAACAAAAACCAAGGCCUGCAGAAGCUGGGGGAGCCGUAUUGGAUCACAUUUAAGCUUUCUCUGCUGAAGCUAGAGGACUCGGACUUGUAUUAUUGCAAGUGGACAAACAACAAGUUUAACCACCAGUCGAGCAACGGUACCGUCGUCAUUGUCAGAGAGAGCGGCCCUCCGGAACGAUGUCCUGACUCUAUCAUUGACAUUGUCUUGAUUUGUCUGAGCAUUUUAGCUUGUAUUAUCAUCCUGUCCAUUAUCCUGCUGAUGAUUAUGAGGUCCAGAAAAUUUAAAAAGAAAUUCACACCUGCCAGACACGUAAAACCCGUGAGACCUCCCAGACCCGCAAGACCUGUGAGACCCCCCAGACCCGACGGACCUAGUUGCUGCUGUUCCCCUCAACUACCCAGAAACCAUCCUUACUUAGUCACUUCUAUAAACAGUCCUAACCUUAGAGCUGUCAUGUGACGUCCAAAACAAGAGCAAGGCCGAUGAUAAGAUAAGAUACUUCCUUGUUUAGUUAUUGCAGAAAUAUAACUGAAACGUCAGUCGUUCUUGUCAGUUGCUCAUCUUUUGUUUCAUUUCCUUUUUACGCACAAUUGAGCUUUAAAUCUGCAGAAAAAGGCUUGAGCUACCACAUCCUGGCUGAUGUUGAAUAGUACAGGUGUGGCACACGAACGAACACUGCACAGCAAGCGUUAUUUCCAUCCUUUGCAUGCAUACAUGCAUUAUCUUGACCCCAUCGGGUUUUUAAGUGAUUUGAACACGAUUUUGUUACCUUCUAUGACUAAUAAAGAAUUGUGAAAUUGAAAAGAACCACACUUUUCUACCUGUUUUGAUUCUUGAAAUGUUUAUUUCUAUUGAAUAAGAUGAACCUGUGAUUAAUGUUUUAUUUUAUAGUGAUGCACCGGUGAGAUGUAUAGCAUUAAAGGGGACAUAUGUUGAUGUUUGAAGUGACAACUUACUCAAAACUUUUAUAAAUAUCCAACAUCUCCAACUUUAUCUCCAUCCAUAAUGUGGCAUUUGUUGUUCUCCAGGUUCUACAUCCUACUUUUUUUAUCGGGUAGAAUUCAAACAGGAAGACUAACUG